rnacentral:rRNA from 1 species
GGACUACUGGGGUAUCUAAUCCUGUUCGCUCCCCACGCUUUCGCGUCUCAGCGUCAGUACCGUCCCAGAGAACCGCCUUCGCCACUGGUGUUCUUCCCAAUAUCUGCGCAUUUCACCGCUACACUGGGAAUUCCGUUCUCCUCUUCCGGACUCUAGCUAGGUGGUUUCCCACGCGAACUGCGGUUGAGCCGCAGGUUUUGACGCGAGACCUACCAAGCCGCCUACACGCUCUUUACGCCCAAUAAAUCCGGACAACGCUCGCCCCCUACGUAUUACCGCGGCUGCUGGCAC